CGCAUGCUCCAACAGGUCCUUCUCCUUCCCCCACGACUCGCAGGCCGGAGGCGGUGCCGGACCUGUCCUCAAGCCAGUCUUCCCGGGUACCCUGCGUUUGCCUCCGUCUACGGAGGCUGCCUCACUAAACUCUGAGACUAUGUCUUGGUGGUUAGCCCCCAGACUGAAAACAGCGGAAAGAGAAGUGCUCCAGUACACAUGUGAAUGUAAGUUCCACGAGAGCAGAGACUGUAUCUUGUUUAUCCGUGCAUCUCCAGUUCCGAGCACAAGGAAUGCUCACACAUGACCUGUGGUCCAAAAUCAUACCAGGAAGGUAUGAGCUCCAUUUGAUCCAUAAGGAAACAGAGGCUCAAAAAGCUUAAGUCAUCUGCCCAAGGUCACAGAGCUAGAAGUGGAGGAGCUGGGAUUCAAACCCGAGUCCUGCUUCAGCUUCAGAGAUGAAGAGUCAGUUAAAGAAUAAAUAGAAAGAAAGGAUAUGACAAGUUUGUAAGUACUCUCUAGUUUUUCAUCUUUAAAAAAUGUAGGUGUAAAUUUGUAAUUUUUUGGUUUUGCACGGUAGAGGACUUCCCUUUAGCAGCAGAUGAACGAGGAAGGAAAAAUUCAGAUUAAUUCAAAAUCAAAACAGGCAAAGCAAUCCUGACCAACCAUUUUUUUAGUAAAACACGGUAGUAAAAUUGAAAACAAAACCCCCCAAACCACCACCAGUGCUGCUGAGAUUGUUGUAAAACUGGUUUCUGCCUCUUGGCAAGCGGCCUGUAUUUUUAGUUCACACUAUGUGUUAGUUUCUAAUUAUUGUGUGAUGAGCUGAUAAAUGCCACCCUCCUGUACUAGACUGGAAGCGACAGGAGGGCAGGGUCUGUCUAUCUUGCUCAUCUUAUGCUCCUAGAGCUCAGUGCCUAGCGCGAGUAGACACUCAAUUUGUAACUGUUGCAUAAAUGGAUAUUGCUGUUGCCAUGAUUAACUUUUUGGAAGAGAAUCAGGCAAUAUAUAGUAAGAGCUAUAAGAUAAAAUAUUAUUUAACUAGUAAUCUACUCCUGUGAGGAAAAAAUAUUCAA